ACACAUCUACGCAGGAUGAUUAAAUCGAAUUGUUGAAUUGAUCCAAACAAAUGACAAGUACAUGUGUCGAUCCCUCUCUCGAAGGGAUUGAACAACAAAUAACAAGACACCAAAUUAAACUGGUGCAUCAGCGACAUCAUCAAUCAAUUCGUUAAAUUAAGCAGAAGAAGAAGGGGGGGAAAAAGAAGAAGACAAAGACCGGCGGCCGCCAUCAUGCCUCCCCUCCGUCUCUUUCUCCUCCUCCUCCGGUCGGCCGGCCGGCGGCUCACUGAAUGUAGUAGGCGAAGAAGGAAGCCACGGCGGCCCCGAGCGCGGCGCCGAGGGCGGGCGCGACGGCGGAGGACCCGCUGGUGGGGGCCGGAGCCGGGGCGUCCGCGGCGAGCGCCACGGUGGCCGAGGCGGCGACGAGGACGGCGCAGGCGAUCUUCUUCAUCUCCAUCCCUUCUUCUGCGAAACGACGGAACGGAGGCGAGCGACAAGAAGAGCUGCGGCGAGCUUGGCUGCUGCUGCUUUUCUUGGCUUGCCUCUGCGCCUUCGAAAUUGCUUGCUUGCCUGGGAAGCGAGGGGAUGGGCGGGGUGGGGGAUUUAUAGCUGGGAUUAACGGGUGCUAAUCCCCGGAGGGGAGCUCUGAGCGGGGCGAUCGCGAGUGGGUGGGCCGCCAUGUGGUGGCGCCCGCUACGUGCCUGCAUGUGCAUGCGAAGCGGGCGAGUGGCUGGGCGGUCAUCUCGCGGCGGGGGAUGGGAGGAGACGAGACGAGACGAACGGGUCGCGUGGCGUGGCUCGUUGCGCUUUCGUUAUCGAAGUUGAACGAGUCCCCUUUCUUCGAUCUGCUAAUAGUCAUCAGGCGCGCACGUUUAUUUGCGUGUUGUAGCUGCGUGUUAGUUUUGGAAGAAAAUUGGGCU
rnacentral:lncRNA from 1 species